CAUGCAAGUAGGACGCACAGUUUAUACCGUAGCUUGCUACACCAUAGACUGUGAGUUGCGAACGGGUGAGUAACGCGUAGGUAACCUGCCUAUUAGAGGGGGAUAACUAUUGGAAACGAUAGCUAAUACCGCAUAACAGUAUGUAACACAUGUUAGAUGCUUGAAAGAUGCAAUUGCAUCGCUAGUAGAUGGACCUGCGUUGUAUUAGCUAGUAGGUAGGGUAAAGGCCUACCUAGGCAACGAUACAUAGCCGACCUGAGAGGGUGAUCGGCCACACUGGGACUGAGACACGGCCCAGACUCCUACGGGAGGCAGCAGUAGGGAAUCUUCGGCAAUGGGGGGAACCCUGACCGAGCAACGCCGCGUGAGUGAAGAAGGUUUUCGGAUCGUAAAGCUCUGUUGUUAAGGAAGAACGAGUGUGAGAAUGGAAAGUUCAUACUGUGACGGUACUUAACCAGAAAGGGACGGCUAACUACGUGCCAGCAGCCGCGGUAAUACGUAGGUCCCGAGCGUUGUCCGGAUUUAUUGGGCGUAAAGCGAGCGCAGGCGGUUAGAAAAGUCUGAAGUGAAAGGCAGUGGCUCAACCAUUGUAGGCUUUGGAAACUGUUUAACUUGAGUGCAGAAGGGGAGAGUGGAAUUCCAUGUGCAGCGGUGAAAUGCGUAGAUAUAUGGAGGAACACCGGUGGCGAAAGCGGCUCUCUGGUCUGUAACUGACGCUGAGGCUCGAAAGCGUGGGGAGCGAACAGGAUUAGAUACCCUGGUAGUCCACGCCGUAAACGAUGAGUGCUAGGUGUUAGGUCCUUUCCGGGAAUUAGUGCCGUAACUAACGCAUUAAGCAC
rnacentral:rRNA from 1 species